rnacentral:rRNA from 1 species
GAUCCUGGUUCAGGACGAACGCUGGCGGCGCGCUUAACACAUGCAAGUCGAGCGAUGAAACUUUAACAGAACCCUUCGGGGCGAAGAUAAAGUGGAUUAGCGGCGGACGGGUGAGUAACACGUGAGUAACCUGCCUUAGACAUUGGGAUAGCCUCGGGAAACCGGGAUUAAUACCAAAUAAAAUCAUAAUGACACAUGUCAUAACGAUCAAAACUCCGGUGGUCUAAGAUGGACUCGCGUCCCAUUAGCUAGUUGG